rnacentral:lncRNA from 12 species
CUUUUUCACAAGGCUGAAUGCGGGCUGUUCUAUGAUGCCUUUGCUCAUGUAACUCUCUCUUCCAGAUGCAGUUUGUACAGAACAGUGAGGAUAAAUGGAGAAGGCGUUGAGGUAGAAUUCAGCUCAGCAUCUAGAGACAGAAGGCUUCUGGACUGGUAG